CCUACGGGUGACAGCAGUGGGGGAUAUUGCACAAUGGGGGAAACCCUGAUGCAGCGACGCCGCGUGAGUGAAGAAGGCUUUCGGUAUGUAAAGCUCUAUCAGCAGGGAAGAAAAUGACAGUACCUGACCAAGAAGCCCCGGCUAACUACGUGCCAGCAGCCGCGGUAAUACGUAGGGGGCAAGCGUUUUCCGGAUUUACUGGGGGUAAAGGGAGCGUAGACGGUUAUGUAAGUCUGGAGUGAAAUCCCGGGGCCCAACCCCGGGAUUGCUAUGGAAACUGUGUGACUGGAGUACAGGAGAGGCAGGCGGAAUUCCUGGUGUAGCGGUGAAAUGCGUAGAUAUCAGGAGGAACACCGGCGGCGAAGGCGGCCUGCUGGACUGCAACUGACGUUGAGGCUCGAAAGCGUGGGGAGCAAACAGGAUUAGAUACCCUUGUAGUC
rnacentral:rRNA from 1 species